rnacentral:lncRNA from 1 species
CCCACUCCACCCAACCCAAAAGCUCGAUUCCAUUGCCCCCAAUCUAGCUACCGGUAGCCUCUCACACAAAUCUAAGAAGGGGAAGAAGUCUAGUAUCUCUCUGCACAACUUCACCAUUACAUCGUAGCCAACAAAUUCUCCAAAAAUCUCUCAAUCGAUGGCUGAAUAAAUCUGACGUUGGACCUCAAAUCCGAAGCCCUUGCCAACACCAAACCUAUUCUAUCUUCAUCCAUUUUUGCCCUCUUUCUGUAUAUAUCUCUAUUGUUUCUGCUUCAUCUAAUGAUUUGAAGAGAACGAGGGAUUCGAAGGGUGCAAUGAGGAAGGUCGGGGACUCGGUGUGUGUAGGGUUUUGGGGCAAAAUCCAGGUGAUUGUGGUGCAAAACAACUAUUUGCUGCAAUAGAUCAUAAUGGCCAUGCCACAACAGAGACAAAACAAAUAAAACGGACCAAAAUCAAUCUAUUUCUCCUCAUCUAUAUUAUAUAAUUAUCCUUGGAGUCUUCUUCCUUGCAGGAACUGGAGAAUCAAUUCUUCAGUUACCUCCUUAAAGUCCAUCAAAUCGCACAUUUCUUGGCCUUUAUAACCAAUGGAUUUAUUACCCUCAUUCGCACCCGAAGCGUCGUGUCUCGUUCAGCUCCUCUAGUUCUCAUGGAUUUACCUCCUUUCGUGGAUUUACCUCCUUUUCUUAUUGAUGAGUGUUGUUGGGUGGGCAAUGGUGGUGGCUGUCGGCGAUGAAUGUGGUGGUUGGGUGGAGUGG